rnacentral:lncRNA from 1 species
GCGACUCAGAAGGAGCAUGAGCAGAGAUGACCCUAAUAGUUGGUGCCAACACAGUUUCUCUGAGAAGUUGAAAUCGAGGACUGGUGCCCACUGAGGAGGUCUGAGGAGAGGAGGACUCAGAGCAGCCAUGGACAUUUUCCUCAUGUGAUUAGACAAAAAGAAUGAGGCUGUGGUGUGCAUUUCUGAGAGAAAUAUGGAGCAGCUCUGACAGAGGAGGGCUCGGGCUUUGCGUGAAGAAUUUAACGAUGGUGACUCUCCAUGAAGGCGCCAAAUCGCUAACAGAAGCAGAUACUUUCUUAAGUCUACUUGUCCUUCUCCAUCAGUGUUCUGAGACGUGUAAUUAUUGUAUUAAAUGUGUAUGUUUAGCUACUUCUAUCCUAAAAUGGCUCUUGAGCAUAAAAGAAUUGCACUUCAAAAAAUGAAAAGCUUUAUAGAGCCAUUUACUAUAUCAAGUGUGUUAUUCUUUGUUUAUUUCCAAAUAAACUACCAUUCAA